GCCGCUCGAAUCUUUGCACACCUCUACAUGGUGGGCGGCAGGCGAACAGUUUGGAUGCUGUGGCAAGAAUGCAGGA
rnacentral:ribozyme from 1 species